rnacentral:rRNA from 1 species
AUAAUGGGUCAGCGACUUAUAUUCUGUAGCAAGGUUAACCGAAUAGGGGAGCCGAAGGGAAACCGAGUCUUAACUGGGCGUUAAGUUGCAGGGUAUAGACCCGAAACCCGGUGAUCUAGCCAUGGGCAGGUUGAAGGUUGGGUAACACUAACUGGAGGACCGAACCGACUAAUGUUGAAAAAUUAGCGGAUGACUUGUGGCUGGGGGUGAAAGGCCAAUCAAACCGGGAGAUAGCUGGUUCUCCCCGAAAGCUAUUUAGGUAGCGCCUCGUGAAUUCAUCUCCGGGGGUAGAGCACUGUUUCGGCAAGGGGGUCAUCCCGACUUACCAACCCGAUGCAAACUGCGAAUACCGGAGAAUGUUAUCACGGGAGACACACGGCGGGUGCUAACGUCCGUCGUGAAGAGGGAAACAACCCAGACCGCCAGCUAAGGUCCCAAAGUCAUGGUUAAGUGGGAAACGAUGUGGGAAGGCCCAGACAGCCAGGAUGUUGGCUUAGAAGCAGCCAUCAUUUAAAGAAAGCGUAAUAGCUCACUGGUCGAGUCGGCCUGCGCGGAAGAUGUAACGGGGCUAAACCAUGCACCGAAGCUGCGGCAGCGACGCUGAUGCGUUGUU